ACGCACGCUGGCGGCGUGCUUAACACAUGCCAGUCGAACGCUGAAGCUUGGUGCUUGCACUGGGUGGAUGAGUGGCGAACGGGUGAGUAAUACGUGAGUAACCUGCCCUUGACUCUGGGAUAAGCCUGGGAAACUGGGUCUAAUACUGGAUACGACAUGUCACCGCAUGGUGGUGUGUGGAAAGGGUUUUACUGGUUUUGGAUGGGCUCACGGCCUAUCAGCUUGUUGGUGGGGUAAUGGCUCACCAAGGCGACGACGGGUAGCCGGCCUGAGAGGGUGACCGGCCACACUGGGACUGAGACACGGCCCAGACUCCUACGGGAGGCAGCAGUGGGGAAUAUUGCACAAUGGGCGGAAGCCUGAUGCAGCGACGCCGCGUGAGGGAUGACGGCCUUCGGGUUGUAAACCUCUUUCAGCACGGAAGAAGCGAAAGUGACGGUACGUGCAGAAGAAGCGCCGGCUAACUACGU
rnacentral:rRNA from 1 species